rnacentral:rRNA from 1 species
AUGAAAAAACUUGUUAGGGAGGUGUCUGGUCAUGAUGCUCUCUUAGUGUACUCUGAUAAUCAUGUUGUCAGAGCUCCACAAAAAAGAGAGUUUAGGUUUGAAUUGACCUGGUUGAAAUCUGAGGAUUUUAUUCCUCUUGUUGAUAAAAUCUGGAAACAAUAUGUGAAUGCUACUGCCCCUAUUGAUAUUUUGAAUAUCAAGCUCAAAAGAUUCAAGAAAUUUUUUAAAGGAUGGGGGUCAAAUAAAUUCGGCCGUGAGAAGAAAAGGAAGCAGGAGAUUAGAGAUGAACUUGCUUCUAUUGAGAAGCUAGAAGAGGGAGGAUCUAUUGACCAAGAAAAUUUUUGUAGGAAAAUUGAUCUUCUUGUGGAGUUAUAUGAAAUACUUGUUAAUGAGGAAUUGUUUCUAUUGCAACAAUCCAAUGAAAGAUNNNNNNNNNNNNNNNNNNNNNNNNNNNNNNNNNNNNNAAAGAUUGCUAAUGGUAAUAAGCGUAGGAACAUAAUCCACACUCUAAAUGUUGGGAGCACAGUGAUUGAGGGGGCCAAGAAACUCCUGGAGCAUGCUACUGAUUUUUAUAAAAAUCUUUUUGGUCCGGCUCAGGGGAACAUGUUUCAUCUAGACCCUAGUGUCUGCAGAGAAGAAGAGAAGCUCGAUGAAUUAGAUAAUGAAAUUCUUAAUAAACCUUUUACAGAAGAAGAAGUGAAGAAAGCUUUGUUUUCUAUGAAAAAUAACAGGGCUCCGGGCCCGGACAAUAUCCCUGCUGAAUUUUAUCAGCACUAUUGGGCUAUUGUGAAAGAUGAUAUAAUGGGUUUGUUUGUUGCUUUUCAUGCGGGGAAACUUGAUGUCAUCAUACUGAAUUAUGGCAUUAUAACCCUGCUGCCCAAGAUUAGUUGUUAUAAAGCUUGA